GCGGGGAUAGCUCAGCUGGGAGAGCGUCAGACUGAAGACAAACUUCGGUUCGAAAUCUGAAGGUCGGGUGUUCGAUCCACCCUCACCGCA